GCCGGGUGUGGCGACACACACCUGUAAUCCCAGUGACUCAGGAGGCUGAGGCAGGAGGAUGGAAAGUUCAAAGCCAGUCUUAGCAACUUAGGCCCUAAGGAAUUCAGUGAGACCCUGUCUCAA
rnacentral:sRNA from 1 species